AAGCUCUGCAUACCAAGAAAUCUUGACAAACAUCAGGUUAUGAGACUUCCCCCCAAGAGAACAGAUGCCUGAACAUCUUACACAACUAAGAGCAAAAGAGAGGAAAUCUCCAACAGGACAGGCUACAGGGUCUUGCUCUGUCAUCCAGGCUGGAGUGCAGUGGUGCGAUUACAGGUCACUGCCAUCUUGACCUCCUGGGCUCAAGUGAUUCUGCCACCUCAGCCUCCUGAGUAGCUAGGACUACAGUAAUUUGUGUAGAAAUGACAGUGUAAUGCCACUCUGGUCAAUGAGACCUAAGAAGAAGUCUACUGGAAGACAUCUGGGAAAGAUUUACCAUCCUGAAAAAAGACAUCUCUGGAGGCUGGGAAGUCUAAGAUCAAGGAUCUGGCAUAUGGCAAGGACUUUGCUGCAUCAUCAAAUGGAGGGAGACAAAAGGACAAAGAAGCAAAAGAGGUUCAAAUUUGCCUUAUUAUAAUGGCAUUAAGCUGGCUCGUGUAGGCAGAGCCCUCAUGGCCUAAUCACAUCUCAAAAGUCCCACCUCUUUAUACUGUUACGAUGGCAAUUAAAUUUCAACAUGAAUUUUGAACAGAACAAACAUUCAAACCACAGCAAAAGAAAAACUAUUCUCUAUUUCUAUUUCUAUUUCUAUUGGUAUUAGGAUGAAUUUAAAUGAUUUUCUGUGCUUCUGGGUAGCUGAGAAGGUAGCAGGUAUGCUCUUUAGGAAUUCCAAGUGAAAGGAGUUAGUGAAGGUGCUUUGUCAUGGAGCAGUUCUCCCAAAACUUUGUUGCUCCAACAGUUAUGAAGUGGAAAGUACUACAUGAACGUUUGAAUUAUUGGUCCCAGCUUUUAAACCCUCUGCCCAUGAUGAGAGUAUUAGCCUUCUCAUCUGAUCUGUUGAGUCUCCUCAGUUCUCCAACACACUGAUCCUUUCUCAGUUCUCCAAAACAAUGGAUAAGAAUAGGCUGUAAGUUUUUAAUGUUUGGUUUUGUUAACAACACAGAUAACUUAACACUGGACAACUGGCAGGUCUCAAAGUAAGUAGGCUGAAGCCCUUUCUUAAGUAUAUCCUACUGAGCUUCUUUUUCCGAUAUCCUGGCUUAAUAUAUUGUGGCAGAUGUUUGUUUUCUGUCCAGCAUCUAAUUAGCCUGCUCUGAUUCUGCAGAAACAGUUUACUUCUCAACAGAAACCUGCUGCUCCUUUCCAAAGUCAAGUCCCCUAAUUUCUGUCUGUCAUAAAAGAAAAACCUUUUCCUUUCACCUCUACUAGGAACUACUGUUUUAGUCUUUUCCUUUGUCAUGAUGGCCUGUUCCCAGGAAAAUUAACAACGGGAACAUGGUGCAGUAAACUCUACCCUCUGAUAUGUGGUCUUAUUCUUUGGCUUCCCCAAAAUGAGUGCUCUGUGGUGAAGCAGGCAGUACAAUUUCCAAAUGUGGGUUAUUUAGUCUUGAAAAAUGACUUGUGUGAGACCACAUUACUACAUUACAUCAGUGUGGGUCAAACCCAAUCUAGCUGCUUUACAGUCUUGUUGAAGUGGGAACCAGUCUGCACAAAUUUCCAGUUCUUGCUUUGUCUUCCUGACUUCUUUUCAUUUGAACAACAUAAGCUCUCUCUCACACACACACACACACACACACACACAGAACUAGCAAUAAUAUAUUGUGUACAAGUUUAUCUCAUUGGAAACAAUCUGCUGCAGGCAUAGAUUUGGCAAAAGAUAUAUGCCAUUUACGUUACAAACAGAACUCCUAAUUUCUCAGGCUGAGGGGUUUUACUUUCCAUGUUUUAGUAGGUAGAAACUUAUUGCAAACUUUAAUGAAGUAAUUCUCAAAAGGGACUCUCCUAGAAGGUAUUUAGAAUUUGUGAGAGAUGUUUUUUCUUCACAAUAAUUGGGUGGCACUACUGGCAUUUAGUGAUUGGGAGCUAUGCAUCUUAAAUAUCCUGUACUGUGAGAAACAGUCUCAUUAAACACAAAACUGCUCUGUGUCUUGCACCACUUUUAGAUGUCUCACUGCAUAUUUAUGACUUGGAAAGCCUGUUUAUAAUUUUCUGAGCCUAGAAUCCAAUACCAUUCUACCUAUGAACAAAAGUAUGUUCAGAAGAUUUUUAUAGGCUUGAAAUUUUUUAGGAAUGCAACUAUGGGGCAAAUCUAGGGAAAAUUGUAGUUUUUUCUUGUAAAUCUUGUCAAGAGUUGUUCACCAUUUUGGAAAAUCCUGUCGCUGACAUCCAACUCUACCCCCGCUAUUUGAAUUGCUGGUAUAACUUAUUCUGAUCAGUUAGCAUUUAUUGCCCCUCUCAUGGUGAUUUCAAAUGUCAAACAAAUAUAAAGAAAAGUAUCUACGUUUCAGCUGAAUAUUUUCUUAUGUCUUUUAAUUGCAAACUAUUCAUGGUAAUAGGUGCAAGAAUCGACCUACUUUAUAGGUCUUGUUGUUUAGCUGUGCUUACAAAUUUACAACAAUAAAAUGUAUUAUUUUAUUUUAAA